AAAAAUACAAGGGACCAAGGCAAUCGAAACAAUCUGGAUACCAGAAAUUCAAGACCUAAGCUUUAAAAAAAAGGCCAUGAAAGACGUGGAAAAGCUUAGGAUAUUAUACAUCAAUGGUUUUCAUACACAUGAUAGCUCCAACGAUCAGUACCUUCCCAGCAACUUGCGUUGGUUCGACUGUUGUAAGUAUCCUUGGGAAUCAUUGCCAGCCAAAUUUGAUCCUGACAUGCUUGUUCAUCUUGAUCUCCA
rnacentral:misc_RNA from 1 species